rnacentral:rRNA from 1 species
AGUGAACGUUGGCGGCGUGGAUUAGGCAUGCAAGUCGAGCGAGAACCGUAGCAAUACGGGGACAGCGGCGAAAGGGACAGUAAUGUGUAGGUACCUACCUCCGGGUUCGGGAUAGCUGCGGGAAACUGCAGGUAAUACCGAAUAACGUCUCCGGACCAAAGGUGUGAUUCCACCUGGAGAGGGGCCUGCAUCCUAUUAGCUUGUUGGCGGGGUAACGGCCCACCAAGGCGACGACGGGCAGCGGGUGUGAGAGCACGACCCGCGUCAUUGGGCCGGGGACACUGCCCAGACACCUACGGGUGGCUGCCGUCGAGGAUCUUCGGCAAUGGGCGCAAGCCUGACCGAGCGACGCCGCGUGCGGGAUGAAGGCCUUCGGGUUGUAAACCGCUGUCGUAGAGGAGGAAGUGCAGGGGGGUUCUCCCCUCUGUUUGACCUAUUCUAGGAGGAAGGACGGGCUAAGUUCGUGCCAGCCGCCGCGGUAA